UAACACAUGCAAGUCGAGGGGUAACAGGGUAGCAAUACCGCUGACGACCGGCGCACGGGUGAGUAACGCGUAUGCAACCUGCCUAUAACUGGGGAAUAGCUCCCUGAAAGGGGAAUUAACACCGCAUAACACUAUUGAUUCGCAUGGAUUAGUAGUUAAAUGUAGCGAUACAGGUUAUAGAUGGGCAUGCGUGACAUUAGCUAGUUGGUGAGGUAACGGCUCACCAAGGCUACGAUGUCUAGGGGUUCUGAGAGGAAGGUCCCCCACACUGGUACUGAGACACGGACCAGACUCCUACGGGAGGCAGCAGUGAGGAAUAUUGGUCAAUGGGCGCAAGCCUGAACCAGCCAUGUCGCGUGCAGGAAGACUGCCCUAUUGGGUUGUAAACUGCUUUUAUAGUAGAAGAAACACAUCUACGUGUAGAUGUCUGCCAGUAUACUAUGAAUAAGCAUCGGCUAACUCCGUGCCAGCAGCAGC
rnacentral:rRNA from 1 species